AUAUCUGUAUACAUACACAUCUACACACAUCCACGUACAGAUACAUCUGUAUACAGAUGCAUGCACAUACAUACACAUCUGCACACAUGUCGGUGGGGAUCAGGGAAACAUAGCAUUAAGUAGUGAUGGUCUGGCAAUAGCGAGUAUUGUUUUGACAUCUUUUGGGUGAACUGACCAGCUAGUGGCUAUCAGAGGGGUGUGUGGGGUGUGUCUGCAGCUUGGUGGGGUCAUCAAACAUGGUAUUUAUUGUUGCACAUGUCUUUUCUAGAGGAUCUCCCAUGUGGGGCCCUGGAGUGUAAUGAGCUGUCCCCGUGGCCCACCUGCCAGUGUCUGCACCAGUGACCAACAAAGUUCUGGCUUCACAGGCCUCAAGGACUUUGGAUUGUACUGUAAGAAACGCUAGUGUGCCAUCAUUGGAAGUGUCUGGUCACCACGUGGAGAUCCGUUGCCAGCGGCAGGACUGGAGACAUGCAGCCACCCAUGGUCGGCAAGGCUGAGUGGUUCCAGGAGCAGCUGGAGAUGAAACUGGUCAUGGGGGCAGCCCUGUCAUCUUUACAGGGAACCUCACGCAGCAGGCAGGCUGCAAGCUGGCCUCUCUGCAUCACUGAGCCAUCUGCUGAGUGACCAAGCCCACCUGACAGCACUGCUGGAAAGGAAGGAGGAGGAUGGACACUGGGCGGCCACACUGGGUGCCGAGCUCGUCGUGUCAGGACUGGCGGGGCUGUGUGCCCUUAGCCUGCUGCAGCAGCGAGGCCGGCUCUGGACCAACUCCCUGAGGAUCCAGUGCAGCCUGCUGGCUCAGGCAAAGCAGCCAGCGCACCAGUGCAGCACCGGCCAGAGGCUGCCGACAGAGAGUGGCUUAGAUGGCGCUUACCAGCUGGAGCUGGGCCAUGAGCUCCACAGCACACAGAUCCCGGCCUCAGCCACAAGGUAGGGUGCCCAGGCCAGGUGGGACAUCCAGAGAGAGCACCAGAGUCUGGCAAGGUGAUCUGAGUACCCUGAGCUCAUUCCUAAAGAGAUGAACUUGCUCCCAAUAGCA